AUGCCAUGAUUUGGACAUUGUAACAUCCACCUUUUGAAAUACAGCCAUGAUUCAAGAAUUUCUUCACCAUUUAUCCUUUUAAAGUUUUGGAUACCAUUUCUCAACUU